UAAAAGUUUGUGCACUUUUGUUUUCCAUUUGCAUGAACUUAUUUGAAUACAUGAACAUUUGUUACAUUGGCCAACUUUUUUAUGCAUGUCCGUCAACUUUACAAAAAAAAUUACAUUUUUUCCAUACAUUCACGUUUAUGUUCGUCAACUUUACAAAAAAAAUUCAUACAUUCACGUUUUUCAUCAAAGUUUUCAAAUAAUUCAAAAAUCUAAGGGAGAUAAGUAGCGCUGCCAUACUGGUUCGUAAACAAAGUCCUGCUGAAGUGAAACAGUAGCAGCUAGUUGGUGUACUGGUUCGCUGAACUUGAAGACCUCUGUGAGGUCGCGUGUUUGAUUCACAGGGGCUAUCUUUUUAGAUGUUUUUUGCACAAUAAUACAUUUUUUUCUCCAUGCGUGUUCGUGUGGGCCGGUCUGCCAGGAGCUGCCGCCUGCGGCAGCUGCCUUUGGCGGCGCUGAAGGCGCUGAGUAGGCGCUCCCGGGUCAUUGUCCAUGUCCCAGCAUGUUUGCGCUGGUAUUCCCGCCUUCUCAUGAAGCCACAUCACUCGAAUUGUUAUAGCCGUUGAUGCAAUAGUUUGCAGCCGUCAGAUCGAAAGUUGACAAAAUUACUUGGAGCUGCCACCGCUAAGUGGAAAUACCCUUCGUUGUUUCGAGCCGUCUCGCUCGCUGCCUGCGUCUUACUGGAUUUCUUUUGGUUGGGUUGUACAUGUACAGCAAAGCCUAUUUUUUGGACACUAAGGGCAUCUCCAACAGGAGAUGCUAAGAGGGGACGCUAGGAAUUUAUUCCCGGCAGAUCGGAGGUUACGUUGUCGAAUCCCAGCGCCUCGUCUGGCAUCGGUGCAAAGGAAGGCACCGAGCGCUUGCUCAGUUUUUAACGUACGAGAGAACUGGGCCUUUCUUUCUAAUCUGUUAUUCAAGAGCCCGUUAUUAGCGCCAACGUUGGAGGAGCGAGCGCUAACGUCCUUGGAUAUUUUUUUUCCCACACGAUAAGCGCCUGCAUAAGCGCUCAGCAUUGAAAAUGCCCUAAAAGGCCCGUUCACACCGGGCACGACCCACCCUUCCUUUUAUCUCCAAAAAAAAAACUGAACGAUCCUUCCGUCCAGCCGCCGCCAUGAGCCCCUCCGGCGACCGUGCCAGGAUCCACCCUUCCCUGGCCAGAUGUUGCCGUACCUAAUCCUCUACCAGCAGCCGGCACCACCCUUGCUUGCCCCCACCCAGCCGUCGCGGCUAACCCCUUCGUCGUCGCCGUCGUCGUUCCCCGGCGAGCAACCUCUCUAGAGAUGCGUCAUCCAGCCACUGCCGGCAUGGAUUCCGCCGCCACGGCUCACCCUCUCCCAGCACAGCCAACACGAGAUGCUCCUCCCGGUCAGUCACCGAAGGUAACCUUACGCCGCCACGCCCAACGGCCCCCUUCCAGUAACCGCCGCCAGCCCUUCCGUUGCUCGACAGGUGAGCAUUAACUCCAUCAUAUUCGUCCAUCUUCCCGCUGCCGCUUUUAUGUCGUAAUCCCUUCCACCUCAAUGCCACAAAUGCACAUGAAACUGCCCCGCACCACUCAAUCAGCAGAAACGGAUGGAUUCAUGUCAAAAGAAGAAACUGAUGGAUUUAUUGCUCCCUCCUCAUGAAGGGUAAUCGACCCAGUGGCUCUCCCUUUUAAGCAGUGGAGUUGAUCCCUUCCCAUCCCAUCCACAAAUUCGUGCUGGUCCAGAGUCACUUCCCCUCGCCGGGUUCACAUCGCAGGCUUCUCCUCGAGGCGUCCGCAGAUCCCCCCCGGUGCGCUACAGCUUGCCACUUACCUUUUCAACGAAGGGUGGCAGCCAGUACAAAUGGAGAACCGGAGCGACAGGUACUCCUACUGAAAUUAGUAUGAUAUAUAUUUUCAUUCCACUUCUUACCCUGAUUGACAACAUACUCCUAUCUUCUCAAGGACGCCACCUAAUUUUGUAAAAAGUUAAUUUGCCAUGUUCUACCGCCGUUUCAAUAAGAGAAGCUCGGAAGAAAUACAUGGACGCAAUUGCAAAGAUGAAGGGCACAAAAGACCCGACGUUUAUAACUUUCAAACAGGAGUCCAAGCCUCAACACAUCGCUAACCAACUAUCUGGUGACCAUGCAUUAUCAUCCAUUGGAUACAUUGUUGAGUAUGAAAAGAAUGGGAUACCAUAUAUUCAGGUCAUAGUAACUGAAAAAGGCACACCUACAAACAACAUAAAAUAUAUCGAGUAAGAAUAUAGUACAUGCUACAAGCUGUUACAGUUUUAUCAUAUGGUAUAUAGUUCAUGCUACAAACUGCUACGGCUUGGUACAUAUUUGUACCAACAAUAAAUUUCAGUCAUUUCGUAUAUAAGAAAUCUAUUAUUUUAUGGAUUGAAA